rnacentral:misc_RNA from 1 species
GUGAAUCAUCAAAUCUUUGAACGCAAAUUGCACUCUCUGGCAUCCCGAAGAGUAUGCCUGUUUGAGGGUUGUUCUAAUAAAAUCGUCGUUUUAAAAAACGGUUCUGAGUUUUCCAAGGUUUGAUGAUUCUGGUAACUUUAAAUUCAUCUUAACGAUAUUUUCGGUUUGAUAUUGGAAUUGGUUAUAUUUUUAUUAUUUUUAAGUUUC